AUGAAUAUAAUGCCCACUGGACACUCAUAUGGUGCGUAAAGCUCAAGCAAACUCCCAAGAAAACAGCGACCAACAAUACUAUACAAACUGACUGCACCGAUGAGUUCAAGUAAGCAGGAAGGCAUCGAAGCAGAGGACGAUGAACUCUUGGACCAACAACUGGAGCCGGAAAUGAGGAAGUGGUUGAACAAGGACCUUCGUACCCGUGGGCCAAGAUAGUGAGACCAGGCGCGCAACAAGUAAGAGAGUUUUUUUGCAGUCGCACAGGAAUGCCCCAACAGUGAUAGAGGUGGCGAUGAAUGAUCUCAACUGAACCACUCAUCAUUCAAAUUUAUUUCCUUCCUUAGUUAAUUGUAUUAACGUAAAUUGUAUUAACGUAAUCCUUCUGUCAUAUACAUGUGUCUGAACUAGGCUGGAUAGAUGGUCAGGCAAACCCAAUUCACCAUCUUACCAAAUUCCAGGAGAGGAAAAAUAUAUUUUUAGAUAAUAAUAGUGAGGAGAGAGGGAAAACAUGGUCCCGAGAUAUGCCGCCUUUUCGUAUCCUUGCCCUAGCGAGGUCAAGGCCCCGGCACCUCCCGAUUAUUCUUGGUAUGGGCCGAGGAUGUACCACACCUACAGACUGGCGGCCCGUAGAGCCAACCUCCCUUACCCCUCCAAUUUUGUAGACAGGAAAGACCAGAAAGAGGUAAUGCUGUGGCGUCCAGAGGAGGAAGAAGCUGUUCUCUAUGGUCUCCAAAGGAAGAAGCUCUGUUCAUGUCAUGAGAGUUGUGAGAAGAUGAUCCCUAUUACAUAAAGAGUAGUUCUCGCCAUUGCCAAUGAUGGAAUCCUCAUCUGCCAUUUCAAAGCUGUGAAGGUAACUCAGUUGAGGAGGGCCCUGUUUGGAUGAUGUAAUUUGUCGAAGCCAUAUACAUUGUUUUAGGAACAGGUGCCAUGUAAUACCAUAGUGUUUGGAAACUACAGUCUUUCUUUGUUUCAGUAAAACAAAAAAGUGUUUGCCAA